rnacentral:rRNA from 1 species
GUUAUAUGGUCAAGCGAAUAAGCGCACACGGUGGAUGCCUUGGCGGUCAGAGGCGAUGAAGGACGUGGCAGCCUGCGAAAAGUAUCGGGGAGCUGGCAACAAGCUUUGAUCCGGUAAUGUCCGAAUGGGGAAACCCACCCGCUUGCGGGUAUCCUGCAGUGAAUACAUAGCUGCUGGAAGCGAACCUGGUGAACUGAAAUAUCUAAGUAACCAGAGGAAAAGAAAUCAACCGAGAUUCCGUAAGUAGCGACGAGCGAACGCGGACUAGCCCUUAAGCUGGAUUGGUUCUAGGAAAACGCUCUGGAAAGAGCGGCCAUAGAAGGUGAUAGCCCUGUAUCUGAAAGGGCCAUUCCAGUGAAGACGAGUAGGGCGGGGCACGUGAAACCCUGUCUGAACAUGGGGGGACCAUCCUCCAAGGCUAAAUACUACUGACCGACCGAUAGUGAACCAGUACCGUGAGGGAAAGGCGAAAAGAACCCCGGAGAGGGGAGUGAAAUAGAACCUGAAACCGUGUGCGUACAAGCAGUAGGAGCUCCGCAAGGAGUGACUGCGUACCUUUUGUAUAAUGGGUCAGCGACUUACUGUUCGUGGCAAGCUUAACCGUAUAGGGGAGGCGAAGGGAAACCGAGUCUGAUAAGGGCGCAUAGUCGCGGGCAGUAGACCCGAAACCGGGUGAUCUAGUCAUGCCCAGGGUGAAGGUGCGGUAACACGCACUGGAGGCCCGAACCCACUCCCGUUGCAAAGGUAGGGGAUGAGGUGUGAUUAGGAGUGAAAAGCUAAUCGAACCCGGAGAUAGCUGGUUCUCCUCGAAAGCUAUUUAGGUAGCGCCUCAUAUGUAUCCUCUCGGGGGUAGAGCACUGUUAUGGCUAGGGGGUCAUCGCGACUUACCAAACCAUUGCAAACUCCGAAUACCGAGACGGACUGUAUGGGAGACACACGGCGGGUGCUAACGUCCGUCGUGAAAAGGGAAACAACCCAGACCCACAGCUAAGGUCCCAAAUUUUGUGCUAAGUGGAAAACCAUGUGGAAAGGCACAGACAGCCAGGAGGUUGGCUUAGAAGCAGCCACCCUUUAAAGAAAGCGUAAUAGCUCACUGGUCGAGUCGGUCUGCGGGGAAGAUUUAACGGGGCUAAGCACAGAACCGAAGCUUGGGGUGCAUAACUUUGUUAUGCGCGGUAGAGGAGCGUUCCGUAAGCCGUUGAAGGUGGAUUGAGAAGUCUGCUGGAGGUAUCGGAAGUGCGAAUGCUGACAUGAGUAACGAUAAUGCGGGUGAAAAACCCGCACGCCGAAAGCCCAAGGUUUCCUUGCGCAACGUUAAUCGGCGCAGGGUGAGUCGGCCCCUAAGGCGAGGACGAAAGUCGUAGUCGAUGGGAAGCAGGUUAAUAUUCCUGCACCUCGCGUAAGUGCGAUGGAGGGACGGAGAAGGUUAGGUGUACCAGGCGUUGGUUGUCCUGGGGAAAGGCGGUAGGUUUGGAUCUUUGGCAAAUCCGGGAUCCUUUAAGACCGAGCACCGAGACGAGCCUUUAUGGCGAAGUCACUGAUACCACGCUUCCAGGAAAAGCUCCUAAGCUUCAGCUUACGCAGACCGUACCGUAAACCGACACAGGUGGGUAGGAUGAGAAUUCUCAGGCGCUUGAGAGAACUCGGGUGAAGGAACUAGGCAACAUGGCACCGUAACUUCGGGAGAAGGUGCACCCUUUUUGGUGGCUCGUGCGAGCUAUAGCUGAAGAGGGUCGCAGUAACCAGGCCGCUGCGACUGUUUAUCAAAAACACAGCACUCUGCAAACACGAAAGUGGACGUAUAGGGUGUGACGCCUGCCCGGUGCUGGAAGGUUAAUUGAUGGGGUCAGCCGCAAGGCGAAGCUCUUGAUCGAAGCCCCAGUAAACGGCGGCCGUAACUAUAACGGUCCUAAGGUAGCGAAAUUCCUUGUCGGGUAAGUUCCGACCUGCACGAAUGGCGUAACGACAGCGGCGCUGUCUCCACCCGAGACUCAGUGAAAUUGAAAUCGCUGUGAAGAUGCAGCGUUCCCGUGGCAAGACGGAAAGACCCCGUGAACCUUUACUAUAGCUUUACACUGAACGUUGAGUUCGUCUGUGUAGGAUAGGUGGGAGGCUAUGAAACUGUGGCGCUAGCUGCAGUGGAGCCAUCCUUGAAAUACCACCCUGUCGUGCUUGACGUUCUAACCUGGGCCCAUUAUCUGGGUCGGGGACCGUGUAUGGUGGGUAGUUUGACUGGGGCGGUCUCCUCCUAAAGAGUAACGGAGGAGCUCGAAGGUACGCUCAGCGCGGUCGGACAUCGCGCACUGUGUGCAAAGGCAUAAGCGUGCUUGACUGCAAGAUCGACGGAUCAAGCAGGUAGGAAACUAGGACUUAGUGAUCCGGUGGUUCUGUAUGGAAGGGCCAUCGCUCAACGGAUAAAAGGUACUCCGGGGAUAACAGGCUGAUACCGCCCAAGAGUUCAUAUCGACGGCGGUGUUUGGCACCUCGAUGUCGGCUCAUCACAUCCUGGGGCUGUAGUCGGUCCCAAGGGUAUGGCUGUUCGCCAUUUAAAGUGGUACGCGAGCUGGGUUCAGAACGUCGUGAGACAGUUCGGUCCCUAUCUGCCAUGGGCGUUGGAGAUUUGAGAGGGGCUGCUCCUAGUACGAGAGGACCGGAGUGGACGAACCUCUGGUGUUCCGGUUGUCACGCCAGUGGCAUUGCCGGGUAGCUAUGUUCGGAAGCGAUAACCGCUGAAAGCAUCUAAGCGGGAAGCGCGCCUCAAGAUGAGAUCUCCCGGGGCACAAGCCCCCUGAAGGAACCAUGUAGACUACGUGGUUGAUAGGUCAGGUGUGUAAGUACAGCAAUGUAUUGAGCUAACUGAUACUAAUGAUCCGUGCGGCUUGACCAUAUAACCU